UACGAACUGUGCGAACGUUAUUCGGAAUCACUGGGCUUACAGGGUGCGUAGGCGGCUCAACAAGUCAGGUGUGAAAGCCCCCGGCUCAACCGGGGAACUGCGCUUGAAACUGUUAGGCUCGAGUCAGCUAGAGGUACACGGAACUUCCAGUGGAGCGGUGAAGUGUGUUGAUAUUGGAAGGAACACCGGAGGCGAAAGCGGUGUACUGGGGCUGGUCUGACGCUGAGGCACGAAAGCCAGGGGAGCAAACGGG
rnacentral:rRNA from 1 species